GUAGCACUACUAGUGCUAGUGAUGUAUGCCACGACUACUCGCAGGUUAUUGACUUCAUGUGUGAUUCUCAAGGUAUUCCAUCUUAUAAACGCCAGUGCCUAUUUAUAGUAAUAUAUUUUAUUAUAAUACAGGUUGCAAAACUACUACUCCCGAAGUAGACAGCAACCACACCAUUCAUGGAUUUACGUUUGCAUUUCUUCAGUUAGGUACUGCAUACUGCUGCUACUGAAGUUUGUUACAGACAUUCGCUCAUUGCUAGCCUCGUGUACUUUUCUCCAGGGCUGCAAUCAUCAGCACAACGCACCGAAUCGUUAUCUAGGACUCGCAUUCUCGUUUGGAUCAGCACCACCAUUACCACCCGCAAAUCACUCGUAGGACAUCAAUCUUAUCGGUCUUUGUCAAGACCAGAAAUUGUCCUUUUCAGAACUCCACAAAUGGUUCUUUUCAGGACCCCGCAAACAGUCCUUUUCAGGAUUCCACCAAUGGUCCUUUUCAGGACCCCACAAUACCAAAAAGAGUUUAUCUGAAUUUUUCCUUUCAUAUAGAAGCUAUUUCACAAUCGUGCCUUCAAACAUUUAAUUUGGUAACAUGCAUUGAAAGAUAGAUGCGAGGUGGUGUUUGUGAGAAUCAUUAAUUCAAGGAAAUCAAGUGUUGAAUAACAAAUGGCUGAAUGUGCAUAGGGUAAAAUCAAACUAUCUAUCUGCCAUAUAAUUGCUUAUAGAUUUGAUUUUGAUUUCAAAAUUCAGCAAUUAUCUCGAGUAACCAAUUUAAUGCGUGUGUGUAGUUCUAAAUAAGUCGAUGGCAUUACAGGAUGUAUCCACGAAUAAAAUAACUGGCUCACAAAAAUGGUCGCAUUUUUAAUGUCAUCGUGGUCGUGUCUUGUACACAACCCUUUAAUUUUUUCUGUUAGCUCUA